ACGGCCAUACCACUUUUAAACACCUGCACGAUCACCGAUGUUAAGCAACCUCGAGCCUGAUUAAUACCGAGAUGGGUGACCGCUUGGGAAUACCAGGUGCUGUAAG